rnacentral:rRNA from 1 species
UGGGGGAUAUUGCACAAUGGGCGAAAGCCUGAUGCAGCGACGCCGCGUGGGGGAUGAAGGCCUUCGGGUUGUAAACUUCUUUUGCUCUGAACAAGGCAUGCUAAUGGGUGUGUUGAGUGUAGGGGUUGAUUAGCGCUGGCUAACUACGUGCCAGCAGCCGCGGUAAUACGUAGGGCGCGAGCGUUGUCCGGAAUUAUUGGGCGUAAAGGGCUUGUAGGUGGCUGGUUGCGUCUGUCGUGAAAGCUCAUGGCUUAACUGUGGGUUUGCGGUGGGUACGGGCUGGCUUGAGUGCAGUAGGGGAGGCUGGAAUUCCUGGUGUAGCGGUGGAAUGCGCAGAUAUCAGGAGGAAUACCGGUGGCGAAGGCGGGUCUCUGGGCUGUUACUGACACUGAGGAGCGAAAGCAUGGGGAGCGAACAGG